rnacentral:piRNA from 1 species
UGUAUUUUAUCAGGGCUUUAACAUAAGGAA